rnacentral:rRNA from 1 species
UACGGGGGGGCAAGCGUUGUUCGGAAUUACUGGGCGUAAAGGGCUCGUAGGCGGCCAACUAAGUCAUACGUGAAAUCCCUCGGCUUAACCGGGGAACUGCGUCUGAUACUGGAUGGCUUGAGUUUGGGAGAGGGAUGCGGAAUUCCAGGUGUAGCGGUGAAAUGCGUAGAGAUGUGGAGGAAUACCGAUGGCGAAGGCAGCCCCCUGGGAUAACACUGACGCUCAUGCACGAAAGCGUGGGGAGCAAACAGG